UACGUAGGUGGCAAGCGUUGUCCGGAUUUAUUGGGUUUAAAGGGUGCGUAGGCGGCUUUGUAAGUCAGUGGUGAAAUAUGGCAGCUCAACUGUCAAGGUGCCAUUGAUACUGCAGAGCUUGAGUACAGAUGAGGUAGGCGGAAUUGACGGUGUAGCGGUGAAAUGCUUAGAUAUCGUCAAGAACACCUAUAGCGAAGGCAACUUACUAGGCUGUAACUGACGCUGAGGCACGAAAGUGUGGGGAUCAAACAGG
rnacentral:rRNA from 1 species